UACGUAGGGGGCAAGCGUUGUCCGGAAUCAUUGGGCGUAAAGCGCGCGUAGGCGGCCCGGUAAGUCCGUUGUGAAAGUCAAAGGCUCAACCUUUGAACGCCGAUGGAUACUGCCGGGCUAGAGUCCGGAAGAGGCGAGUGGAAUUCCUGGUGUAGCGGUGGAAUGCGCAGAUAUCGGGAGGAAUACCGAUGGCGAAGGCAGGUCUCUGGGCUAUAACUGACGCUCAUGCACGAAAGCGUGGGGAGCAAACAGG
rnacentral:rRNA from 1 species